rnacentral:lncRNA from 1 species
GAUAUAUGUGACAUGAGAAGGGAAAAAAGUCUAUUUUAUUUUUCUAAAAAAAUAAAUAUAUUUAUAAAAACAAAUAGCAGUAAUAUGGAAACUUUAUGAUGGGUCGAUUCCUUGUCCCAAGAGGAUCUAUGGAGGUUGUGUAAUAAAUAAUAGAAAAAGUAGAACUUGAAAAAGAAAAAAAGAAAAAUGAUGAAAAAAAUUGAAACUGAAAUAAAUAAGGUAGCUGUGUCGGACGCGAGGGUUGGUGAAAGUGGCCAAAAAAAAAAAAAAAAGGCUUGGACGCCAAUUUGUUUUGUAGACGACGUUCGUUAACGGCUUUGUUGUGUCCAUUAUUCAUAAAUGUUUAUUCUUCUAGUUUUCAUUUUCUUCUGUAUAUUCUUUGUUUUAUUUUAUUUGUUUCUAUUGUUUUUGGUUGAGUCUCGGUUUUUGUCAUCGCUUGGAACAGCCGACACAAACCUUUCAAUGAGAAUCAAUGUGUUACACCAAAUCAUCUUUAUGUUCUUUUGUUAUGAGUGUAUUAUUUUUUUAAUGUACAAUUGGCAAACGACUG